rnacentral:rRNA from 1 species
AUUGAACGCUGGCGGCAGGCUUAACACAUGCAAGUCGAGCGGGGAAAGGUAGCUUGCUACCUGACCUAGCGGCGGACGGGUGAGUAAUGCUUAGGAAUCUGCCUAUUAGUGGGGGACAACGUUCCGAAAGGAACGCUAAUACCGCAUACGUCCUACGGGGGAAAGCAGGGGAUCUUCGGGCCUUGCGCUAAUAGAUGAGCCUAAGUCGGAUUAGCUAGUUGGUGGGGUAAAGGCCUACCAAGGCGACGAUCUGUAGCGGGUCUGAGAGGAUGGUACCCGACACUGGGACUGGGAAACGGCCCAGACGCCUACGGGAGGGAGCAGUGGGGAAGAUUGGACAAGGGGCGCAAGCCUGAGCCAGCCAAGCCGCGUGUGUGAAGAAGGCCUUUUGGUUGUAAAGCACUUUAAGCGAGGAGGAGGCUCCUUUAGUUAAUACCUAAAGAGAGUGGACGUUACUCGCAGAAUAAGCACCGGCUAACUCUGUGCCAGCAGCCGCCGUAACAC